GCUCCCAAGAGAAACUUGUUUUCCUAGUUCCCUUAAAAACGUGAACUGGUGCCUCAAACAGAGACCAGCACAGACCUCCUCAGGGCGGCACAGAAUAACUGGCUACUCUGAGAAUCUCGUUUUUCUUGCUCCACAGAAUCUGAUUGAAGCGGAAGGGAAAUAGAAGCUGAAGGAUCUGCCAUCUAGAGACUCCAGGCUUCUCUGAGCAAAUAUUCCAUAGUAGGGGACCUCUGGCUUCUUGGCAUAGAUACGGCAACUUGAACUUGGCCCCCAUAAGGGUGCAUAUGCUGUUCCAAGUCAGGAUUGCACACAGCAACUGACCAUACUGUGCACGGGGCAAAUAUUUAUGGGACAAUAAAUGUGAGCGAAGCAUGUUUGUGUUCUGUGCCUAACUGGCGAUGGAACACGCAGAUCGACUGAUUUCCUCCAUCCCCGUGGGAGGAGCUGUGGCCCGUGUCCUCUCGGAUCUGCCUUAGAGUGCUGGCCCUUCAAGCCUAGGACAAGAGAUGGGGCUGGGGCAAGGGGAUGCCCUCAACUGAUUUAGGACUCAGGCUUUGGGAAGAGCACAGGGCCCGGCGGUGCUGCUGUGUGUGACCCAGGUGGACCAUGACUUCAGAUUCCCCCUGUAUAAGCGGAGUAUCUUUGCUACUUGGGAUAGGGAUUAUCCUGUGAAUCAAGCUUUUCGUAGACCUCUGCAAGAACAAAGAAGAAAGUGAACAUGAUAUGACCAAUGCUUUCGGCAAAUAGAAGCAGGGGAAAUCGCUCCGGGACAAUAAACUUCUCUGUUUGGGACGUCAAUCUCACUGGGAAUUUUCAGACAAAUCAUUCAGAAAAUACACUCAAUCACGCAACAGUAGUAGAUACCAUGUGAUCAUUCCAACAUGACCGCAACGCACUGAAUAGUUAUUGCUUCUUUAUUUUUAAAUAGCCCAUAGGCAGAACAAUAAAAAAAAAAACAACUCAAGAAACAAAUUCCAAAGGUUAGAUUUUAGAAAUCCUGCUGUUAGAUUUUAGAAAUCCUGCUGUUAGUAACUGUCACACAAGUGUCUUAGCAGAGGGGCAGAUAACUGUAGUCAAAGAAAUAUUAGUAUCCAAGGAUAAUUUGCGCACUUGUCAGUAUAAAUUUUUAAAUGAAACAGAAAGCCGGGGCUGCGUUUCUUUUCGUUAAAGCAACCUCCUGUGCUUCCCCGGCCUGCUCGCUAUUGUUAUGUGGCGGGUAGAUUUCACAUUCCUUCUGCAUUAUUGUAACAGACAAGUCUAAGACACUGUCUAAUGUUAAUUCUACACACUGCUGCCAAUUAUAAUCAGAGCUAGUCAAAAUAAACAAAUUAAACAAAUAAACAUGU
rnacentral:lncRNA from 1 species